ensembl:lncRNA
CUUCUUUUCAUUUGAGGUUGGAACUAAACGAUCUCUGAAAGUCCCUUCCAACCGAAGCCAUUCUCUCAUUCUGUGAUCUACUGGCGGCAUUGUUUGAGUUUCUAGAAUAUUUACGCAGGCUUUUGCAAUUGCACCACAUUUUCAAGGUUGUUCCCAUUUUUAUUUUUUUUAGCAUUUCCAUUUGUUCACGUACUUCAGUCCGGAGCACCCCCCUGACCCCAGGACAGCUUGCUUCUCCUCCCCCAUCUGUAGCGCUGCCAACAGAGGCAGAACCACUGUGCUUACAUUGCAGUGGCUGCAGCAGGCAGGGACUGCGGUGUGCUGGGUCAAUGGUGGGAUGGGCGAUGUGAACUCAAGGGAAAUGAAGAGAUAAUGGCUGCAAUGCCCUCUUUUUGCUCUAGGGUGUUUUUUUUUUUUUUUUUUUUUUCCACUUUCCUCCCCCUCUCUAAGCUCCCGUGCCUGCUUUAAUCACCAUUGCAGAGCGCUGCGCAGAGAGAUGGCUGAGUACAAAGUGCAGGGGAAGCAGUGGGAGGGUCAGGUGAGGACUGAGAAGGGCGAGAGGAAAAGGUCAGUGACGCAAGCCCAGCGCGAUGGCUCUCCCUCAGCUGAGCCGCUCUGCUGUUUGUCCGUGGUGCGCUAUUUCUUCUCGGCAACAAUUCACACAUCUGGGGACCACAACUCCUUCCACCGCCCACGCUCUUCCUCCCCCCUCAUAGGGGCUGAGGCAAGGGAGGGGGAAGGAGGGGAGCUGCUGCACGGGGCUGCCGGCAUCGUUUCCAAGACGGAAGGGGAAUAAAAGUCUCAAGCAGUCCUUCUCCACAGCCGACUUCCCUCCAGGCGUUGAGGACCUCUGAUGGAGGGACCUGCUUCUUGCAAAGAAAGAAAGGGGGGAUCCUUGCUCAUGGUUGGUCAGAAAAAUGCAUUGGCACUCCUGUUCUUGAAACAUAGAAGCAAUGGUGCACGUUUUUUUUCCCUUAGAACUCAGGUCUCACCUGCAGAGCUGUGACUAAGGGAUGGGACCCUGGUGCCUGUGGACAUGUGCUGUCUUUGGGCUGUUUCCAGAGAUCCAGCCCCUGGCCUGAGAAUCUCAGUUUUUGCAGAAGUUGGGAAACAUCCUUCAGACCCCUUUUUCUGCUGAAGAAAUUGAGAGAGAGGAUGUGAGAGCUGUGCAGAUCUAUCAGGUUGCUCUCCGUGGGACCGAAGCUGGACUUGCUGACCAGCAUGGUGACUCCAGUUAAAUUCCACCAUUUAAGUGCCACUGCUCUUAAACACAGUUAUGUCGAUUAACCUGAGGUUAUUUGUAUAACUAAAGUGUCACUAGGGGUGUUAGAUCGGGGGAACAGAAACAGUUCGAUGCAUUAACGCCACGCCAAGGUUGCCAUUUUGGUACAAAGCAGAGCCUCUUAUAGACUGGUAAUGCUAACAAGUUCGACAAAAAUAUCACUGAUACAAUAAACAGUGGCUCCCCGCAGAGCCAUUUUAACAGACGUUUUUCGGAGUAGAACCACAGUUUAAGGGGAAGAUAACAGCAGAUAUAGUGCAAUGUUGUAGUUUUGAGAAGCGCUUGUAUGUGCGGGGCAGGAAAUUCAAAGUAAAGGUUAAGAGAGCAUUAUUUGGAAAGUACCAGAAAUAACUUGAAGAGCGUCUAGAGAUCUUCACAAUAUAUCCUAGCAGAAAGCGAGCUUUGGUGGCCAUAAGGGCCACGUCUGUCCACAUCUCCAUGCUUCCUGCUGGGUCUGCAACCUUCCCACCACUCAACUGAAGAAGAUCACAGGGACAUGACACUGAGAUGGGUCUACAGAGCCCUCCACCGAGCUUGUCCCUGGUGAGCUGGAUGAUUUCUAAACCACAAGCAAGGCGUCCCAAUGAGCCUGGAACCUCAGCUUCAGCUGAGAGCUAGCAAAGGAAAGUGAUGUGUCUAGCCUAACCAGAUAAUGAGGCAAUAAAUCUUGCCAUACUUUUGCACUUAACACUUCUUCACUCUCUCUGUAUUUAGUGAAAGUAUUCACCUGUCCACCCUGAAGAGUCACUCAGCAGACGUGCAACUGAAAAUGAGAAGUUUCAGCAGCACCUCUCUUCUCUAAUGAAAGCAGAAGGGAGGCAAAAGAUCAACCUGCCCCAGCCUUGAGGGCUGGAAAAAACUGACAUUGCUUCUGACACAUUGAUCCGGCCCAAACAACACCUUUAACCAAACCCCCAACUGUGCACUUUUACCUACUGCUUUAACUCUGCACAACUGAGCUCAUGGGUGAGCUUGCAUGCCUGUCACCGUUGUAAGGACAGGAAGGCAAUCACCAGAACACCUCGCAUGUAUCACUGACGGUGUGGUUUGUUUGGCUUUUUAAAUUGUAAAUAGCACCAUUCCUAACAACGUCAAUGUAAAGGAGUUUAAAAGUGCCAGAGUCUCAGUAGUGCAGCGUCCUUAGCAACCAAGUCUGAAAACUGUGUAUCAGGUAGGGUCUGAACACAGCCCUUUCUUCCUGCACCAUAAAGUGGUUGUUUUAAUGUAUUCUCAGUGUGUUUCCAACAGAAAUUAACGGUACUAAGGCAGUCUGUGUGUUCAUGCAUGGGUAUUUUCUGUUAGAUGAUCAAUAGGAUCAUUCUUCCUUCCCCCACAGUUUUGGAAAAAAUCGAUCAGUUUCUGAUUCUUACACAUUAAAACAAAAACAAAAUACCAAGGAAAUCAGUGGGAUUUUCUUUGCUUGAUUAGCUGCACAAUAAAACGUGUGCUUUACACUCUUUCUUCUCCAAAGUGAAGGAAGGUGCAGAUUUCUUUGUCUGAAGGAUAAAUGAGAAAAAUGAUGGUAAACAUGAAUACUGCAUUGCAGCUGCAGAGCUGGUGAUACCAAGAAGUUAAUCACAGAGCACGUCAUUGCUUCAGCCAGGACUUCAGCACCAGCGUAGCUGCAAUCGUGCUAGGAGCUCCUGGGAAAUGCUGCGUCCUGAUGAUCCAUAUCAGGAGAAUCUCCUGUCUGGAUGUGGUGUAGAAGGGCCUCGGAGCCAGGAGUUUGUUUCUGGAGAAGCUGAGAGCAGGUGCCACGCAUUGGGCCCGAUGGCUGUCCCCAGUACCCUGGGAACAUGUAGGAUCACAGCCAGUUCUCUGGGAAUUGUAGAUCUGACUCGAACAGUUGCUGGUAGAAAUGCUAAGGGAUACUCAAAGACCGAAGGUACCCAUUCCCUGUCCCUCCCUCAACCCUGGUGGGAG